UACAGAGGGUGCGAGCGUUAAUCGGAAUUACUGGGCGUAAAGCGUGCGUAGACGGUUCGGUAAGUCGGGUGUGAAAGCCCCCGGGCUCAACCUGGGAAUUGCAUUCGAAACUGUCGGGCUAGGGUGCGGAAGAGGGAAGCGGAAUUUCCGGUGUAGCGGUGAAAUGCGUAGAUAUCGGAAGGAACACCAGUGGCGAAAGCGGCUUCCUGGUCCAGCACCGACGUUCAGGCACGAAAGCGUGGGGAGCAAACAGG
rnacentral:rRNA from 1 species